UAAUACGUAGGCAGCGAGCGUUGUUCGGAGUUACUGGGCGUAAAGGGUGCGCAGGCGGUGGAGCAAGUCUGAUGUGAAAUCUCCCGGCUUAACCGGGAGGGUGCGUUAGAAACUGUUCUGCUGGAGUGAGGGAGAGGCAAGCGGAAUUCCUGGUGUAGCGGUGAAAUGCGUAGAUAUCAGGAGGAACACCCGUGGUGCAGACGGCUUGCUGGACCUCCACUGACGCUGAGGCACGAAAGCGUGGGGAGCAAACAGGAUUAGAUACCCUGGUAGUCCACGCCCUAAACGAUGCACACUUGGUGUGGGCAGUUCAGUCUGUCCGUGCCGAAGCUAACGCGAUAAGUGUGCCGCCUGGGGAGUACGGUCGCAAGGCUG
rnacentral:rRNA from 1 species